GACAAUAUGAUCUGAUCAGCAAACAUUUCAAUCACAUCGAUCCCUUCUACUUAGGGUUUGAAUUCUACAAUUGUUUCUAAAUCACUUCAUCGAUUCCUUCUGUGAUCUUCGUCCAUUCUAUAUCCAGGGUGGUGCAGGCCUACUAGGAAUGUUUGAUGCCGCAAAGGAUGCGAUAGGAGCGUACGAAGAUGCAACAAAGCGACUAAGAGGUUCAAAAAACCAGCAGCAAGUUUGAGAUAUCAUCAGUGUUUCAUUGUAUACAUCACUAACAAUAGAAGAAAAAUAAGAUAGACUAGCGGUUGUAGUAGUAGCACUAGUAACAACAUGAAAGUUAGCAGUAUCAACAAUCAAACAACUGAAUUUUAACAAUGUAGCAGUCAAUUUGAUUCUUGGUGGUCCUUUAAAAACAAGAGUAAAGAUUGUUUGUAUGCUUUAUUAAGUCUGUGUAAUUACUACUUGUGAUUUAUGUUUAUUCGGUUGGUAAAUUAUUUAUUUCUAUA